rnacentral:rRNA from 1 species
UUGAAAGGGAAACGAUUGAAGUCAGUCGUACCUGUGGGUAAUCAGCCUUUUGGGUGUGAUUUUGUGGAGUGUGAGGAGUUAAACGCCCUCAUGCCUGCAUAUUCGUGCACUUUGGGUGUAUUUACCCGUGUGGUAAGUUAACAUCAAUUUCGGUGGUCAUAAAAUGGCUGGAGGAAUGUAGCUUCGAUCUCGUAUUGAAGUGUUAUAGCCUUCGGUAGAUGUGAUAAUCGGGAUUGAGGAUUGCAACGGAUACCCUUCGGGGCUACCUGUCUGAUCUCUGAUCGUUGCUCUGGUGCCGAAAGCUUGCUUACGGUUAUCAAAGUCGAUGGUCAAUAGGUUAGAACGGGUUAAAUUCGUUAAGGAUGUUGACGUA